rnacentral:rRNA from 1 species
GAUGAACGCUGGCGGCGUGCCUAAUACAUGCAAGUCGAGCGAACGGACGAGAAGCUUGCUUCUCUGAUGUUAGCGGCGGACGGGUGAGUAACACGUGGAUAACCUACCUAUAAGACUGGGAUAACUUCGGGAAACCGUAGCUAAUACCGGAUAAUAUUUUGAACCGCAUGGUUCAACAGUGAAAGACGGUCUUGCUGUCACUUAUAGAUGGAUCCGCGCUGCAUUAGCUAGUUGGUAAGGUAACGGCUUACCAAGGCAACGAUGCGUAGCCGACCUGAGAGGGUGAUCGGCCACACUGGAACUGAGACACGGUCCAGACUCCUACGGGAGGCAGCAGUAGGGAAUCUUCCGCAAUGGGCGAAAGCCUGACGGAGCAACGCCGCGUGAGUGAAGAAGGUCUUCGGAUCGUAAAGCUCUGUUAUUAGGGAAGAACAGAUGUGUAAGUAACUGUGCACGUCUUGACGGUACCUAAUCAGAAAGCCACGGCUAACUACGUG